rnacentral:rRNA from 1 species
UACGGAGGAUACGAGCGUUAUCCGGAUUUAUUGGGUUUAAAGGGUGCGUAGGUGGCAGAUUAAGUCAGUGGUGAAAAGCUGUGGCUCAACCAUAGUCUUGCCGUUGAAACUGGUUUGCUUGAGUACAGUUGAUGUAGGCGGAAUGCGUAGUGUAGCGGUGAAAUGCAUAGAUAUUACGCAGAACUCCGAUUGCGAAGGCAGCUUACAAAAGUGUAACUGACACUGAUGCACGAAAGCGUGGGUAUCAAAC